UACAGAGGUGGCGAGCGUUGUUCGGAUUUACUGGGCGUAAAGGGUGCGUAGGUGGCUAUCUGUGUCGGAUGUGAAAGCCCACGGCUCAACCGUGGAACUGCAUUCGAAACUGGGUGGCUGGAGUGCAGGAUGGGAGAGCGGAAUUCUUGGUGUAGCGGUGAAAUGCGUUGAUAUCAAGAAGAACACCGGUGGCGAAGGCGGCUCUCUGGAAUGCUACUGACACUGAGGCACGAAAGCUGGGGGAGCAAACAGG
rnacentral:rRNA from 1 species